CCUACGGGUGGCAGCAGUGAGGAAUAUUGGUCAAUGGACGAGAGUCUGAACCAGCCAAGUAGCGUGAAGGAUGACUGCCCUAUGGGUUGUAAACUUCUUUUUUAUGGGAAUAAAAUGUUCCACGUGUGGGAUUUUGUAUGUACCAUAUGAAUAAGGAUCGGCUAACUCCGUGCCAGCAGCCGCUGUAAUACGGAGGAUCCGAGCGUUAUCCGGAUUUAUUGGGUUUAAAGGGAGCGUAGGUGGAUUGUUAAGUCAGUUGUGAAAGUUUGCGGCUCAACCGUAAAAUUGCAGUUGAAACUGGCAGUCUUGAGUACAGUAGAGGUGGGUGGAAUUCGUGGUGUAGCGGUGAAAUGCUUAGAUAUCACGAAGAACUCCGAUUGCGAAGGCAGUUCACUGGACUGCAACUGACACUGAGGCUCGAAAGUGUGGGUAUCAAACAGGAUUAGAUACCCCUGUAGUC
rnacentral:rRNA from 1 species